GACGAACGCUGGCGGCGUGCCUAAUACAUGCAAGUUGAGCGCUGAAGGUUGGUACUUGUACCAACUGGAUGAGCAGCGAACGGGUGAGUAACGCGUGGGGAAUCUGCCUUUGAGCGGGGGACAACAUUUGGAAACGAAUGCUAAUACCGCAUAAAAACUUUAAACACAAGUUUUAAGUUUGAAAGAUGCAAUUGCAUCACUCAAAGAUGAUCCCGCGUUGUAUUAGCUAGUUGGUGAGGUAAAGGCUCACCAAGGCGAUGAUACAUAGUCGACCUGAGAGGGUGAUCGGCCACAUUGGGACUGAGACACGGCCCAAACUCCUACGGGAGGCAGCAGUAGGGAAUCUUCGGCAAUAGACGAAAGUCUGACCGAGCAACGCCGCGUGAGUGAAGAAGGUUUUCGGAUCGUAAAACUCUGUUGGUAGAGAAGAACGUUGGUGAGAGUGGAAAGCUCAUCAAGUGACGGUAACUACCCAGAAAGGGACGGCUAACUACGUG
rnacentral:rRNA from 1 species